UCCGUAGGGGGCAAGCGUUGUCCGGAUUUAUUGGGCGUAAAGCGCGUGUAGGCGGUCCGGUAAGUCCGCUGUGAAAGUCGGGGGCUCAACCCUCGAAUGCCGGUGGAAACUGUCGGGCUAGAGUACGGAAGAGGCGAGUGGAAUUCCUGGUGUAGCGGUGAAAUGCGCAGAUAUCAGGAAGAACACCCGUGGCGAAGGCGGUUCUCUGGGACGGUACUGACGCUGAGACGCGAAAGCGUGGGGAGCGAACAGG
rnacentral:rRNA from 1 species